AGUGAACGCUGGCGGUAGGCCUAACACAUGCAAGUCGAACGGCAGCACAGAGGAGCUUGCUCCUUGGGUGGCGAGUGGCGGACGGGUGAGGAAUACAUCGGAAUCUACUCUGUCGUGGGGGAUAACGUAGGGAAACUUACGCUAAUACCGCAUACGACCUACGGGUGAAAGCAGGGGAUCUUCGGACCUUGCGCGAUUGAAUGAGCCGAUGUCGGAUUAGCUAGUUGGCGGGGUAAAGGCCCACCAAGGCGACGAUCCGUAGCUGGUCUGAGAGGAUGAUCAGCCACACUGGAACUGAGACACGGUCCAGACUCCUACGGGAGGCAGCAGUGGGGAAUAUUGGACAAUGGGCGCAAGCCUGAUCCAGCCAUACCGCGUGGGUGAAGAAGGCCUUCGGGUUGUAAAGCCCUUUUGUUGGGAAAGAAAUCCAGCUGGCUAAUACCCGGUUGGGAUGACGGUACCCAAAGAAUAAGCACCGGCUAACUUCGUGCCAGCCGCCGCGGUAA
rnacentral:rRNA from 1 species